rnacentral:rRNA from 1 species
CCUACGGGUGGCAGCAGUGGGGGAUAUUGCACAAUGGGGGAAACCCUGAUGCAGCGACGCCGCGUGAGCGAGGAAGGAUUUCGGUAUGUAAAGCUCUGUCAGUAGGGAAGAAGAAUGACGGAACCUUACUAAUAUGCUCCGGCUAAAUACGUGCCAGCAGCCCCGGUAAUACGGAUGGUGCACGCGUUAUCCGAAUUUACUGGGUGUAAAGGGAGCGCAGACGGGUGGGCAAGGCAGAUGUGAAAGUUCGGGGCUCAACCCCGGGAUUGCAUUGGAAACUGUCCGGCUAGAGUGCAGGAGAGGUAGGUGGAAUUCGUGGUGUAGCGGUGAAAUGCGUAGAUAUUAGGAGGAACACCAGUGGCGAAGGCAGCUUACUGGACUGUAACUGACGUUGAGGCUCGAAAGCGUGGGGAGCAAACAGGAUUAGAUACCCCUGUAGUC